rnacentral:lncRNA from 1 species
AAAGAGAUGGGAAAAUAUUUGAAUACACAGAAGAGCUAACAAACCUAUGACUCCAUUGAAGAGCAAAAGAGAGAAACACGUGAAUAUUCAGAGGGUAAAGGAGAAAUUUCCCUUUUUCCCUACAAAUUUGGUGCCAUGGCUCAGAUACAUCAAAGCCACUGUGCUCUUCUGGAAGCUACAGUCAACGGAACUCAUAGCUGGACAACCCAAAGCCAGCACAAGCUACUGGGGGCACACAGGUUGAAGGAUCUUCAGGUGAAGAUGGACAAUUGAUGAUUGGGAACCCCUAGAAAUAUGUCCAGACAGAAAUGCAGGAUUAUUUUCUGGGUAGCAAAUCUUUUCUUUCUUUCUGCUGUUUUAAGGUGUGAUCUGGAUCUAAU